GCUUACGGCCAUACCACCAUAGGUAGCCCCGAUCUCGUCUGAUCUCGGAAGCUAAGCAGGGUCGGGCCUGGUUAGUACUUGGACUGGGUGACCGCCUGGGAAUACCAGGUGCUGUAAGCU
rnacentral:rRNA from 10 species